CCGAUUACUAGCUCAGUUGGUUAGAGCGCUGCACCGGUAUCGCAGGGCCGUAGGUUUAAUUCCUACCAGAGGA